UAUGGUGUGUGCCAGCCGCCGCGGUAAUACGUAGGUGGCGAGCGUUGUCCGGAUUUACUGGGCGUAAAGGGAGCGUAGGCGGGAUCGCAAGUCAGAUGUGAAAACUAUGGGCUUAACCCAUAAACUGCAUUUGAAACUGUGGUUCUUGAGUGAAGUAGAGGUAAGCGGAAUUCCUAGUGUAGCGGUGAAAUGCGUAGAUAUUAGGAGGAACAUCAGUGGCGAAGGCGGCUUACUGGGCUUUAACUGACGCUGAGGCUCGAAAGCGUGGGGAGCAAACAGG
rnacentral:rRNA from 1 species